rnacentral:rRNA from 1 species
AUGGAGAAUGUUGUAGUGUUGAUUGUUGGCGCUGGGCCAGCAGGCCUUGCAACAGCAGCAUGCCUUAGCCAAUUCUCAAUUCCCUAUGUCAUUGUCGAGCGUGAAAGUUGCAACGCGUCGCUUUGGCGCAACCACGCCUACGAUCGCCUCAAGCUGUAUCUUGCAAAGGAGUUUUGUGAGUUGCCACACAUGUCAUACCCACUAGAUGCUCCAACAUACAUACCAAAAACCUUGUUUGUAAAGUACUUAGAUGACUAUGUUGAGCGUUUCAAUAUUCAAUCCAAGUAUCUCACUAGUGUGGAGUCAUCCACAUUUGACAAUGACGAAAAAUGUUGGUCCAUCGUGGCACAUGACAUGGCAAAGAGCACAAUAGUCAGGUUCACAUCAAAGUUUCUUGUUGUGGCAAGUGGUGGGAAUAGUGCAGAGAAUAUUCCAAUGAUCCCCGGACUGCAAAGUUUUCCGGGUGAUGUCAUCCACUCCUCAAGCUACAAGUCAGGCAAGAGCUACUCUGGCAUGAAUGCAUUGGUCGUUGGAUCUGGCAACUCUGGAAUGGAAAUUGCUUAUGACCUUGCGGCCCAUGGUGCCAAUACUUCAGUUGUUAUACGAAGCCCGGCUUCAAAAGAGAUGUGA